rnacentral:rRNA from 1 species
CCUACGGGUGGCAGCAGUGAGGAAUAUUGGUCAAUGGCCGAAAGGCUGAACCAGCCAAGUCGCGUGAGGGAAGAAUGUCCUAUGGAUUGUAAACCUCUUUUAUCAGGGAGCAAAAUCACCCACGUGUGGGGGUUGGAGAGUACCUGAAGAAAAAGCAUCGGCUAACUCCGUGCCAGCAGCCGCGGUAAUACGGAGGAUGCGAGGGUUAUCCGCAUUUAUUGGGUUUAAAGGGUGCGUAGGCGGGUUAUUAAGUCAGCGGUAAAAGCGUGAGGCUCAACUCCAUCCAGCAGUUGAAACUGAUGAUCUUGAGUGCGCGAGAGGUAUGCGGAAUGCGUGGUGUAGCGGUGAAAUGCAUAGAUAUCACGAAGAACUCCGAUUGCGAAGGCAGCAUACCGGAGCCCGACUGACGCUGAAGCACGAAAGCGUGGGUAUCGAACAGGAUUAGAUACCCCAGUAGUC